rnacentral:rRNA from 1 species
AUUGAACGCUGGCGGCAUGCCUCACACAUGCAAGUCGAACGGCAGCACGGGAGCAAUCCUGGUGGCGAGUGGCGAACGGGUGAGUAAAGUAUCGGAACGUGCCCAGUCGUGGGGGAUAACGUAGCGAAAGUUACGCUAAUACCGCAUACGAUCUAUGGAUGAAAGCGGGGGAUCGCAAGACCUCGCGCGAUUGGAGCGGCCGAUAUCAGAUUAGGUAGUUGGUGGGGUAAAGGCUCACCAAGCCGACGAUCUGUAGCUGGUCUGAGAGGACGACCGGCCACACUGGGACUGAGACACGGCCCAGACUCCUACGGGAGGCAGCAGUGGGGAAUUAUGGACAAUGGGCGAAAGCCUGAUCCAGCCAUGCCGCGUGCAGGAUGAAGGCCUUCGGGUUGUAAACUGCUUUUGUACGGAACGAAAAGGUUUGGGCUAAUAAGCUGAGCUCAUGACGGUACCGUAAGAAUAAGCACCGGCUAACUACGUGCCAGCCGCCGCGGUAA